UGGGGAAUAUUGGACAAUGGGCGGAAGCCUGAUCCAGCAACGCCGCGUGAGGGAUGACGGCCUUCGGGUUGUAAACCUCUUUCAGUACCGACGAAGCGAAAGUGACGGUAGGUACAGAAGAAGGACCGGCCAACUACGUGCCAGCAGCCGCGGUAAUACGUAGGGUCCGAGCGUUGUCCGGAAUUAUUGGGCGUAAAAUGGGCUCGUAGGCGGUUUGUCGCGUCGGGAGUGAAAACAGCGGGCUUAACUCGUUGCUUGCUUUCGAUACGGGCAGACUAGAGGUAUGCAGGGGAGAAUGGAAUUCCUGGUGUAGCGGUGAAAUGCGCAGAUAUCAGGAGGAACACCGGUGGCGAAGGCGGUUCUCUGGGCAUUACCUGACGCUGAGGAGCGAAAGUGUGGGGAGCGAACAGGAUUAGAUACCCUGGUAGUCCACACCGUAAACGUUGGGCGCUAGGUG
rnacentral:rRNA from 1 species